GCAGAUUUUGAGCUGAUCUCCUUCAUUCUGCCACCAGCUCACCACAACCCCUGGGUGCACCAGCUGUGGAAAUUACGGGCCAAACUUUGGUUUUCACAUUGUUUGGAGGACAAAAUUGGGCAGGAUGUAGGGGCCCACAGUUUGGGCACGCAUACACAGGCCAGCUUUGGACAACCUAGGACAACAUCCUAAGAUGCACCGAUCUACCUAAAGCCCUCCAUCAUUCCCACACCCAUCUUGCAACAAAAUUUCAUUAAGUGCAGUCCAUAACCAGUGUCUGCCAUGCACGGUCUGCACCUUGUCCAUUGCAGAUGUUACGGAUUAUUCUAUUAGAGAUCUUUAUAUUCUUUAUUUGAGACUGUUAUUAUGUAGAGACUGUUAUGUUGUGAAUGAAGUCAACCCACCCCUCACAUUGAUGCUUUCAGCAGUUAUUACAUUAAAGUGUGUCCUUAAUGUUUUAUUAUUUAAAGAUUGUUUUAAAGUUUAUUACAGGCUCAGUGAAUUUUCUUUCACUAAAAAAUAAAGUGUAAUAUAAACGGUCAUAA